rnacentral:rRNA from 1 species
GGUUAAAAAGCUCGUAGUUGGAUCUCGGCAAGUAGAGGGCGGUAUGCUUCGUAGCAUUACUGCCCUAUUACUUGUAGUUUUGCCAGAGGUUCCUGGGUGCUCUUAAUCGAGUGUCUAGGGAUGCUGGCAGGUUUACUUUGAAAAAAUUAGAGUGCUCAAAGCAGGCUAUUACGCUUGAAUAUUCGUGCAUGGAAUAAUAGAAUAGGAAGUUGUCUCUAUUUUGUUGGUUUUCGGAAAUCGACUUAAUGAUUAAUAGGGACAGUCGGGGGCAUUUGUAUUCAAACGACAGAGGUGAAAUUCUUGGACCGUUUGAAGACAAACUACUGCGAAAGCAUUUGCCAAGAAUGUUUUCAUUAAUCAAGAACGAAAGUUAGAGGUUCGAAGGCGAUUAGAUACCGCCCUAGUUCUAACCAUAAACGAUGCCAGCUAGCGAUCUGAGGACGUUUUUUUUGUAGACUCCUCAGGAAGCUUCCGGGAAACCAAAGCGUGUGGGUUCCGGGGGAAGUAUGGUCGCAAAGCUGAAACUUAAAGGAAUUGAC